rnacentral:rRNA from 1 species
UAAGGAAUAUUGGUCAAUGGAGGAAACUCUGAACCAGCCAUGCCGCGUGGAGGAUGAAGGUCCUCUGGAUUGUAAACUUCUUUUAUAUUGGACGAAAAAGGGACUUUCUAGUUCAACUGACGGUACCAUAUGAAUAAGCACCGGCUAACUCCGUGCCAGCAUCCGCUGUAUUACGGAGGGUGCAAGCGUUAUCCGGAUUCACUGGGUUUAAAGGGUGCGUAGGUGGGUUGGUAAGUCAGAGGUGAAAUCUCCGAGCUUAACUCGGAUACUGCCUUUGAUACUAUAAGUCUUGAAUAUUGUGGAGGUUAGCGGAAUAUGUCAUGUAGCGGUGAAAUGCUUAGAUAUGACAUAGAACACAAAUUGAGAAGGCAGCUGGCUACACAUAUAUUGACACUGAGGCACGAAAGCGUGGGGAUCAAACA